rnacentral:misc_RNA from 1 species
ACUAAUCUAAGUACACGUAUUCCAAAUAAAAAACAAAACGUAUUUAGGUAUAAAUUUUAAUAACUUUCAGUACUUAAUCAAACAGAUAACAAUAACUAUACUAAUUUAAUAAGUACCUAACAAUUGUUAAGACUACAAUGUGAAAAAAGAAAAGCAAACACACACACGGCAAUUCUCUUUUAUUACUAUUAGUUUAUUUCCCCUUCUAUGUUGAGGUAAUUACUCAAGCUGGUGGUAAACGAAAGGAACGGUGGUUUAAACGUAAAUUUAUAAUAUAUUUUUGCAUUUCAAUAAGUAAAGAUAAUAAAGUGAGUAAUUGAUACGCGUUCCAAAACUGUGUUUCCUGCACGGAGAACUACUUUGAAAUUUUUCAUGUGAAACAGAUUAACAACUGGUAACCACUCCGAGACCCACAUAUUUCUGUACGAGGCUUUCCGCAUUUCUGGAAAGAAAAUGUACUUUAACUUGAAAAGUUAUAUUAAUAAGAAAUAUUAAAAAUAAUUAUAAUAAUUCAUGACACUUCUCUGAACAUGAAACCAAAGAAAAAAAAAUUACAAUUCAGCUUAUUUACACUUAUCUAUUAUGUUAUCGGAAUAUUUUGUCAACAGAUGGCACCACGUAACAGUACACUAUCGAUUUCCUGUGUGUUGCGCAACACUCACCCUUUCAAGGUUGGAUGCGUGCUUUCUAUGCUAGGGUGUUUCAAUUGUUUGCUGUUGUUACAAACGAGACGAUCAACUGGUCAUCACUAAAAUUGAUUACACGGUGUUCAUUAAUUAACACAGGUAACAUAUUCUAUUCGAUAUAAAGUCGGAGUGAUGUUAUUGACGUAGCAACUACGAUUGUUUGUAAAACAACGAAGUCGGUAUCUUCGUACGUCUGACGUCACUGGGAAAUUACGAGUGACGUUGGAUUUCGCACGUGUUAGCGAGUGAAUUGAUGACCUGUUAAUUAAACAAAGGUUUCUAAUCGAUCCAAAUGGGACGUAAAUCUUACAAGAAAGGAUUUUAAGUGGAUUUUUAACAGAACCAAUAAAAGCAUGUGAUAAGAUGCUGGAACAUGUAGAUAUCUGUCAGGACGUUCUAAAUGCAGAGAAGUGUAACCAAUAUCCAGUAAUACUCAAGAAAUGUACAGACGUUCACAUUGGUACGAAAAUAGAAAUCCAUUCUCAACAACCACAAACAAGUUACUUAAAGAAAGAAGAUGAAGAAGAAAAUGAAAAGUACGUCAAUUGCAGCCAGAAAUUGAAGAACAAGUACAAGACAUACUUUGCUUACAUGAGAUCUUUCCUGUGGGAAGGUAAAAGGAACGACUUUAUAUUAAAGGAUUACUUCGUAGACUUGACAAUACAAAAGGCAGAUUUAUUCGGAAAGGAAAGAGGAGAUAAAGUAAAUCUGAAAGAAAUAUUUUCUAAUCAGGACGACGACCAUCAAACUAUUUUGGUGACAGGACAUCCCGGUUAUGGAAAGACCACUCUGUGCAGGAAAAUUGCAUACGAUUGGGCAUCCGCGGAUUACUUGCAACAUUUUGACUUAACGGCAUGUAUUAUUUUAAGAGAGUUAGGCGAUAGAAGUGUAAAACAGGCAUUAUUCGAUAACUUGCACGAGAAUUCGUCAUUUGAUAAAGAUUGGAAAUUACAUUUUAGGCAAAUGAACAUUUUGGUGAUUUUGGAUGGCUUCGAUGAGAUUGUAGAGAAAGAUAGAAUUAUAAAAUUUAUAAGGGAGGAAUCUUUCGAUAUUUCUGGUCAAAUGACGAUUGUGGUAACCAGUCGACCUCAAGCAACGGAGGAUAUCAGAGAAGACAUGAAGAUGAGGUUUUCGAUAAAAGGGUUUUCUCCAGAAUAUCAGAAGAUAUGUAUUCAGUUAAUGUUCAGAGAAGACGAGAGUAAAGGGAGAAGUCUUGUUGAGAAAGUGGAGGAAGACGAGUUCUACAAAGAAAUAGCCGAAUGUCCUCUGAUGCUGCACAUGUUGUGCUGCCUUUUUAAUAAUGCAGAAUUGGGAGAGAUUAAAAGCACAACGGAAUUAUACAUCCGAAUGUUUACACUUAUAACCGAACGUUAUGUUAGAAAAACAGAUCUGAAUUGCAAGUUCGAACGAGGAAAACAUUUUAUAGGAGAAAAUUUGCUUCUUCGAUUGGGAACAUUACCUCUAAAAGUUAAUUCGAUCACAUCAGAGGCUUUAGUAAAGUUCUUUCCAAACGAAGAUGAAUAUAAUUUCAUCAUUGGAUUGGACAUUCUUGCUGUGGAAUCUUUUUCACAAUACGAUAAAAUCAUUCGUUAUCAUUUUUUGCAUAUCACAUUUCGUGAAUUUCUUGUAGCUUACGCUAUAUACAACGAUUUUUCUAAUUUUUCAACUUGGAUCACAGAUCAAAUAUUGUUAUUUUUAUUGGGAUUGUUUGGUAGUGAUAAAUUUCCCAAAAGUUUUCUGUGUAAUUUAAAAGAAAAAGUAUUCACUCCGAAUUUCAUGCUUCGAGCUCACAAAGAAAUCAAACUAAGGGAAAACUGGGAGGAAUUUUGUUCAAAUUCCAAAGUAAAAUUUUAUGAUAUAGAAUUAAAUGAGAUGAAACAAUUAUUGAAUUUGUAUCCAUUUAAACAGUUGUUCUUUUGUUUCUCCGAAUCUGAGUUUGACUACGAAAACCACAAGAAUGAAAUUUUUCAGUUCUUUAACGAUUUCAGUUUCCCAAAUGGUCUAAAAAUUUACCUUUUUCUUAUUAAUAUGACAACAGAUCGGGAUUAUUCACACGAUAUUCGAGAGUCUGUUUCGUGUAUCAUCGACUUCUUUCGUAACAUCAGACCAAUCGAUUAUGAAAUUUACUUUAUUGGUAUAUAUAAUUUUAUCGAUAUAUUUCAUUGCUUCAGAAAUGUUAAUUAUUCUUUGAAUUUAACUGAGGGUGUUCUGAAAGAAUUACGUAUUGAUGAAGGCGAAGAACUGAUUGCAUUGCAAACUCAAAGUUCAGAAGGGACGUUUAACAGUUAUUUCUUGUCAUUGGAACAGUAUGAAACUUUACGUGAUCUCAUGAAAAUUUAUCCAAUCAGAGAAAAGAAUUCAAAAUGCGUGGUCAUUUAGACUAAUGUAAUAAAUUACUUUAUACCUGUCUAUUUUUAGAAGAAACAUCGACUUGUCGAGGAGGAUAAAGGUGUCAGGAUUAAGGUGACUUAGCGACGGGGAUUGAAAAGCAAAUCGUAUUAUCUCACGGCCGGCCUUAUAGGGUUUCAGGUGCUAGAAGACAGUGCCUAGGCCUUUAUCUUAAAUGUGUGAUGAAGAAUUCCGUACAGAAAUAAUUUUUUAAUAAUUUAAUUGCUGGAGUAGAAUUCUUCAGGAAAGUACAUUGUCUAGGUGUGAUUUUUUAAUGUUAUAUUUUUGAAGUGAAUAAAAUUUUUAUUGUUUUUUAAUAAAAUAUAUAAUUGUUUUAAUAUAAGAGACACUGUUUCAUUGCCAUAAGUAAGCUCAUUAAUUAUCUUACUGGUAGAUGUCACAAAGAGAAGCAGUUAAAUAUAAUUUAUUUGGGGUGUUGAUAGGGAAAUUAAAAGAAAAUAGGGGAUGAAACAAAAAGCAUACGUGUAUGGAAAAAGUAAGGUAUUGGUAUGCAAUAUAACGCUAAUGUAAUGUAUAGAAACAUAGCAUAUAUAUAUAUAUAUAUAUGCAGAAAGCGUUUUAGUUAAUUAAUUUACAGAAGGGAUCAACUUCAUUUACACACGUGAAUCCCAUUUCUUAUGGCAUAUUCUAUAUCGAACAUUGACAUUUGUCAAUGCAUUUUUUUGAAAGAUGCACUUAUUACACUUUUAGUGGUUGAGUUUUAUUUGGCAUCCACAAGGUACCAGCGUGAAUCUGUGAAUAUCGAAAAUAGAAAUAUGCUUUAAAAACUCAGUAAAAAACUAUUAUUUUGUGUUGAAAGCAACGUCAACGGUUUCUCUGUACUACAAGAUUGAUGGCUUUAACUCGCUGUGGCACUAGUUUUUGUAUUACUUCAUUAUUUAAAUAAAAAUGAUUCCAUUUAUUACUUGCUUGGUAAUAUAUAUUUAUUAGACCCCACUGUUUGCAUCUUAUUAUAAAAGCAAACAGGAGCGUAGUUUAUUAAAUUCAAUUUGCUUUAGUAGAUGGCUAAUAUUGGUCUGCAUUCUACAUUUUAAAAUAUUAAUUUCGUAUAUUUACGUAAGAGAUUAAAGCAAGUUAUUCUAGUAGUCAAUUGUAAAAGAAUAAAAGAAUUGUUUGCAAAAGUUCAAGGAAAUUUUAGCAUAAAUAAUGAUCAUAUAAACAUUAAUAAAGUCUGGGGAAAGGUUCUUCAAGCUUGAAAAUUGCGCAAAAAUUUGCCGACUGGACUGCUUCAAAUAGCAAUUGAUUGCUUGCUGUUCUAUCAAUUAGUUGUAUGUUCUUUGGAACUUUCUAUAAAGUUGCUAUUGAUAAUAAAUUAUACAGGACCACUCCGUUAAAGAAAAAAGUACAUUUUUUUCUAUAAUUUACAACGGAUAUGCAUUUCGGGCUCCGAUAUACUCCUCUUCACACCUUAUUUUAUUAUGUAAAUCGUUAAAAUUAAUAAUAUUUAAAGUGAAAACUGGAAUAACUAAUCAUUAAAUCAGUGGGGUAGAACAAGUAAAACUGUAAAAAUAAAAAUAUUUUGUUUACAACGUAUAAAGUGUUUGACUUUUGUUAGUCAAAGUUUUUAUACGUUGUAACAAAUAAAGAAAGUUAAAACAUUAAAUCAUUAAAAUCCGAUAAAAACAGGUGUGCAAUUUUUAAAUUCCAUACCUAUACAACGUCAGAGUAGUUCUUUGCACUUGGCAGUUGUACACAGACGAACCUUGCAUUUGCUGCCACGAUAAAAGCUAUCAUCGCAUCAGUCUUUUACGGAGAGGCAAUUCUUGCACUUCAGGAUACGAAGAAACUCUCCAAAAAUGAAGUAAUCAGACUAGAUGACUUUGUUCUUGUGUUUUGUUUGUUUUAGGCACCCAUUUUUCCAUUCGGCUUGCGUGCUAUUUUUUUAUUAAUUUCAUUAGGCACAUUUAUUUACGGCCAGUAAUCAUGGGCAAUGUCACUUUUACUUUGCCGUAUAUCGAAAUCGAAGUCAUAGACAUCUAUUUUUUAUCACUUUUUUGAAUUACUCAUUGUAAUUAAUGUGAAAUGUCAGUUUCGUCUAAACGAAAUGAAGAUUUAUAUAUAAAAGUGUCGCGGAACUCAAACAGUUUGAAAUUCGAACAAAUUCUCGGAAGAAAUUUUUCCGCAAAAGCGAACUUUUCUUGGAAUUCGAAUACAAAUAAAUAUAGCAAUACUGUAUGGUGCAUGAUGAAUAAUACGAAUAUGUGAUGCCGUACUGUUGUUACAUUAUCCUUUAAGGUAAAAUUGCAUUGCUUUGGUUUAUUUAUUUACGGAAAUGCGUCACAUUGGCGGUUUUCCGAAAGAGAUCUUUUAUAAAAGCCUGGCCCCUAUUUAGGUAUUACAACGUGAAGAAAAUCUGAGAAACUCCGCGAGGGCAUUCCUUCGGCGAGGCGCAAA